GGGUAGUAAUGGAUGGUCUUGAAACCUAAAAUUUUUGGCGGUUUUUUAGGCUUGUUAGAGGAACCUGUUCUGUGAUGGAUGGUCCGCAGUUAGUUUAACUCUUUUGAGGAGGUUUAUAUAUCGCCGUCGUAAAACAAAUUUUUUAGAGUUUGUUGAGGGGCGUGUUUAGCGUAUGAUGACAGGUCAAGGUUUAGCUUGUGGGAGAGGUUGAAAUGGGUUACAGUAUUGAAUAAGUAUUGGAUUGUAGGGGGAAACCCUUACUAUGAAAGUGGAUUUAAAAGUAAUAGGUCAGUAAGAUGGGUUUAUGGAUUUGGCUCUAGAAAAUGU
rnacentral:rRNA from 1 species